rnacentral:lncRNA from 1 species
UGCUAUAUUUUCCAAAUAAGAAAAACUCCAAGAAAAUGCCUAGGAAGAAGAAGAAGAAAAAUACAGUAAGGUUACCAAGCAAUGUUCUACUAACUACACUGAAGUAGAAAUCGCAGAUCUGAAAUUUCAAAAUUUCCCAAGUUAAGAUAAAUACAGUGAGUUUACCAAGCACUGUUCUUUCUGUUUUUGUCAGGGAAAUGAAGGAAGUGAAAAGAUAGGAGUAAUAGGAAAAAGAUUCAAAGAAGUGAUGAUUUGGAAAUAUAAAUUAAUGACCACGCUCGUCAAACACGCGCUUUAACCACGCUCUAUUGGAUGUUGUGGGACCCAAAGUUAGUGAAUUAUACCUCUCAAAGUUACCGAACAAAGCACUGAAUUGGAUGGCUUUCACUUCUUUUCUAGUCCAAUGAUGGUGACUACUCUACUUCUAUCUGUUCUUUGUUUUUGUUCUUUUCUAGAGUACUUUUUUUCUUUGUGCUUGUAAGUCAGUCUAAAAUGAAAGUCAAUGAGUAAAAAAUUAGGAAGAGGUGAUUAGUCGAGACCUUCAUCUUACCGAGAAUAUAACACUCGGUAAUUACGAUAAUUUAAUAGACAUACUUUUCUAAGUUAUGUUAGUUGGA